GGGCGCCUAGUAUAGUGGUCAGUACACUUCGUUGUGGUCUACAGCAUCCCCGAAGAAACCCAGGUUCGAUUCCUGGGGCGCCCA